UACGUAGGGUGCGAGCGUUGCCCGGAUUUAUUGGGCGUAAAGGGCGCGUAGGCGGUCACGCACGUCCGUUGUGAAAUCGCUCGGCUCAACUGGGCGGGGUCAGCGGAUACGGCGUGGCUGGAGCAAGCUAGGGGGCAAUGGAAUUCCCGGUGUAGUGGUGGAAUGCGUAGAUAUCGGGAGGAACACCAGUGGCGAAGGCGGUUGCCUGGAGCUUUGCUGACGCUGAUGCGCGAAAGCUAGGGGAGCAAACGGG
rnacentral:rRNA from 1 species